AUUGAACGCUGGCGGCAGGCCUAACACAUGCAAGUCGAGCGGAUGAAGGGAGCUUGCUCCUGGAUUCAGCGGCGGACGGGUGAGUAAUGCCUAGGAAUCUGCCUGGUAGUGGAGGAUAACGUCCGGAAACGGGCGCUAAUACCGCAUACGUCCUGAGGGAGAAAGUGGGGGAUCUUCGGACCUCACGCUAUCAGAUGAGCCUAGGUCGGAUUAGCUAGUUGGUGGGGUAAAGGCCUACCAAGGCGACGAUCCGUAACUGGUCUGAGAGGAUGAUCAGUCACACUGGAACUGAGACACGGUCCAGACUCCUACGGGAGGCAGCAGUGGGGAAUAUUGGACAAUGGGCGAAAGCCUGAUCCAGCCAUGCCGCGUGUGUGAGGAAGGUCUUCGGAUUGUAAAGCACUUUAAGUUGGGAGGAAGGGCAGUAAGUUAAUACCUUGCUGUUUUGACGUUACCAACAGAAUAAGCACCGGCUAACUUCGUG
rnacentral:rRNA from 1 species